rnacentral:tRNA from 1 species
GGUAAAAUGACUGAUUAUAGGUAAUAAAUUGUAAAUUUAUUUAUGAAAUAAAAUAUUUCUUUUACC